AUAAAAUGCCUCUGGUGGGCUCCUUUGUACAGGCCUCUGUCCUCUGACUGUUGCAUGGUUUGUUGGAAGGUUUUGUUGAACCUUUUUGUUCCAAGGCGUUUGAUGUGAACUGUGUAUUCAUUUUGGUAGAUUAGUUGCUCCAAUGAAACGAUGGUGGGAACUGUUCACCUGCUGCGCCCCCUCCUGGAAGGGAAAGGCAACUCCCCAGCAGAGCGGUUUAAAUUCUUCUCCAAAAGAGUCUUCUUCAAUUAGAGUAAACGUAAUGCCUAUUUUAAUCCUUAAUAGCAGCAGCCCGUUUACACAUGUACAGGACAUAUUCAUACAAGUCUUAGUACUGGUUGUUACUUUUAGUUACAUUUAAAGAAGCCUUACCAUCAGCUUCAGGAGUUCCCUGUUUUGAUGACGCUGGUGUAUUUAAGCCAUGAGGUGUUUUAAGAUAACUCUUAACACUUGCAAGCAAAUAAUAGAAAUGAACAUUGCAAAUCAAGGUAGAAUAACUAUGAAUUUAUUAAAAGAUGUUUCCAUAUUGGGUAAUCGAAUAAAGUAAACAAUUUCCAUAUGUCUGUGUGGCCUGUUGGCUGUUGAUGAUGAUCAGACAUGUCAUACAAGGACACAUUUACGUAAGGACUAUUUGUAUAUCCCUAUGAACAGGGAGAAGAGAGUACCCUGUAUACAGGUGUGUCUACCCCUCAGAGGUGAUGGGAGGCGACCUGGCGGUCCAGUCCUCUGAGGAUCAGGAGGCCUGGGGUCCAGACCACCCCUCCCCCUGGACCACUCAGCUGGCCCUCAGACCCAGUGUCAGUGAGGAGGAGGCUUCAGGAGACCUGAUCAUGAAAUGACCAGUUGCCGGUUCAACGUGUUGGUCUCCAUAGAGAGCUCCAGACUGGUCCUCCUCGAGCCUUGGGGAUCCUUUACCCCAGCUCCUGUUCCUCAUUGUUUGUUAACUACCCAGCCUACUUAUACCCUGGGUUGUAAGUGCCACCUCGUUCGAUUGUUCUAUAUCCUUAUUACUAGCUUGGCUAGUCAGCUCUUUCUGACUGUUACUGCCUGUCUGCCUGCUUGCCUGCCGGCUUGCCUGCUUGCUUGUCUGCGUAUUUCUGGAUUUUCCUCCAGUCCUGACCUUUACCAUCCUGGACUCCUCUCCCGGCGGUGACCUGGCUCUUCUUUCUUUGUUUUAUUUUUGUCCCUGUUUUUGUCAUCAUUGUGUUUUUUGUACUUCCUCCUGGGAAGCAGGAGUUGAUUAUUGUUAAUGUUUGCU
rnacentral:lncRNA from 1 species